AGCAGCCGCGGUAAUUCCAGCCCCAAUAGCGUAUAUUAAAGUUGUUGCAGUUAAAAAGCUCGUAGUUGAAUUUCGGGAUCAAUAUGUCGGUCGUGCCUCGGCACGCACUGGCUUAUUGGUUUCUCCCUUCUGACGAACCAUGAUGUCAUUAAUUUGGUGUCUUGGGAAAUCAGGACUGUUAACUUUGAAAAAUUAGAGUGUUUAAAGCAGGCUCACGCUUGAAUACAUUAGCAUGGAAUAAUGAAAUAGGACGUUUGAUUCUAUUUUGUUGGUUUCUAGGAUCGACGUAAUGAUUAAUAGGGAUAGUUGGGGGCAUUAGUAUUCAAUUGUCAGAGGUGAAAUUCUUGGAUUUAUGAAGACUAACUACUGCGAAAGCAUUUGCCAAGGAUGUUUUCAUUAAUCAAGA
rnacentral:rRNA from 1 species